UACGGGAGGCAGCAGUGGGGAAUAUUGCACAAUGGGCGCAAGCCUGAUGCAGCCAUGCCGCGUGUAUGAAGAAGGCCUUCGGGUUGUAAAGUACUUUCAGCGGGGAGGAAGGCGAUGUGGUUAAUAACCGCGUCGAUUGACGUUACCCGCAGAAGAAGCACCGGCUAACUCCGUGCCAGCAGCCGCGGUAAUACGGAGGGUGCAAGCGUUAAUCGGAAUUACUGGGCGUAAAGCGCACGCAGGCGGUCUGUUAAGUCAGAUGUGAAAUCCCCGGGCUUAACCUGGGAACUGCAUUUUGAAACUGGCAGGCUUGAGUCUCGUAGAGGGGGUAGAAUUCCAGGUGUAGCGGUGAAAUGCGUAGAGAUCUGGAGGAAUACCGGUGGCGAAGGCGGCCCCUGGACGAAGACUGACGCUCAGGUGCGAAAGCGUGGGGAGCAAACGAGGAUUAGAUACC
rnacentral:rRNA from 1 species